rnacentral:rRNA from 1 species
UGCAAGUCGUGCGGACCUUUUAAAAGCUUGCUUUUAAAAGGUUAGCGGCGGACGGGUGAGUAACACGUGGGCAACCUGCCUGUAAGAUCGGGAUAACGCCGGGAAACCGGGGCUAAUACCGGAUAGUUUUUUCCUCCGCAUGGAGGAAAAAGGAAAGGCGGCUUCGGCUGCCACUUACAGAUGGGCCCGCGGCGCAUUAGCUAGUUGGCGGGGUAACGGCCCACCAAGGCAACGAUGCGUAGCCGACCUGAGAGGGUGAUCGGCCACAUUGGGACUGAGACACGGCCCAAACUCCUACGGGAGGCAGCAGUAGGGAAUCUUCCGCAAUGGACGAAAGUCUGACGGAGCAACGCCGCGUGAGUGAAGAAGGCCUUCGGGUCGUAAAACUCUGUUGCCGGGGAAGAACAAGUGCCGUUCGAACAGGGCGGCGCCUUGACGGUACCCGGCCAGAAAGCCACGGCUAACUAC